rnacentral:rRNA from 1 species
CCUACGGGUGGCAGCAGUGAGGAAUAUUGGUCAAUGGACGAGAGUCUGAACCAGCCAAGUAGCGUGAAGGAUGACUGCCCUAUGGGUUGUAAACUUCUUUUAUAUGGGAAUAAAACGUUCCACGUGUGGGAUUUUGUAUGUACCAUAUGAAUAAGGAUCGGCUAACUCCGUGCCAGCAGCCGCGGUAAUACGGAGGAUCCGAGCGUUAUCCGGAUUUAUUGGGUUUAAAGGGAGCGUAGGUGGAUUGUUAAGUCAGUUGUGAAAGUUUGCGGCUCAACCGUAAAAUUGCAGUUGAAACUGGCAGUCUUGAGUACAGUAGAGGUGGGCGGAAUUCGUGGUGUAGCGGUGAAAUGCUUAGAUAUCACGAAGAACUCCGAUUGCGAAGGCAGUUCACUAGACUGCAACUGACACUGAGGCUCGAAAGUGUGGGUAUCAAACAGGAUUAGAUACCCCAGUAGUC